UGACUGAUCUGCAGUGACUUACAGCUCAGAGCACUGAGAGCCUCAACAGAGAACUGAACUGAUCUGAUUGAACAUGGACAGAUGCUUCAUACUGAUUCUCAUUGUGGGAACAGGUUUGGUGGCUGGAGACAGCCUUGAUCCAGAUAAAGGAACAGACAAAAACACUGAAGAAAGACAAACUGUCAAGCUGAGCUGCUCAUAUAGUACAAGUAGUGAAUAUGUACGGCUUUACUGGUACAAACAGUAUCCCAACAGAGAACCUGUGUAUUUAUUACUCAAAAAUGCACGGUCAGCAGUUGAUUACGAACACACCUCUGAUAAUCGGUUCCAGCUGACUGCAGCACAUACAUCCACUGAACUCACUAUCACUGAUGUACGUCUGUCAGAUUCAGCUCUCUAUUAUUGUGCUCUAAGAGUAGUAGCCCAGUGAUACAAAACAUGAGACAUGUCAUACAAAAACCUGAAGCUCUUUUCAUUCUAGUGAAAAACCACAAUCAAAACCACAAUCUAUCCAGCCCUCAAUGUAAUAACGUAUGUGGUCACACCUGU